UGCUCUUGCACGACUGCAGGCUGGCCAGA
rnacentral:piRNA from 1 species